rnacentral:lncRNA from 1 species
CUGACUGUAGAGUCAGGUUCCUGUUGCCUUGGGGGAAGGCCGAGCUCCGUGGCUCCCUGGGUGUGGACCGGCCUGUAAGCAGGCUUCGGGUCUGGGAGCCUUUGUGCUCCCUUCAGCUGGCAGCCUGUGUGCGGCGCCCGCCCCGUUAGUGGGGAGCGCCCCGGAACUGGAGAGAAGGAGCCUCCAUAGGCCUUGAGGACCAGAGCCGCCCUGUAAGUGGGGGCCAGUGCUCUGGAGUCCCGGGCACUUUGAAGUCCAGGCAGCGGCUUGAGCCCCCUGUAAGCAGGGGUGCAGCCUCUUGGCCGCUGCUUUGCCUGCCCAGCUUCAUUUGCCCAGAGGGCCCGGCUCCCAGCACGGCGUGGGACUGCACCGGACGUCGCCAUGAAGCCGUGGGACGACGAGGCAAGAGCGGCAGCGUCUUCGAGAUCAAGAGUGGAACGGCGAGGCAAGAGCGAGCUUGGAGCUGAAGAGGGACACCAGGGACCCUCUGGGCAAAGGGCUUUUCCAGGCCAGGGCACCUUCACGGUGCCACGGCCGGCUUUGCGCUGGGCGACCUCCCUGUGCGCAGGGCUGGGUCUUUGCUACGGUUGGCCUUUUGCCCUUGUGCUCCUUUGGCUGCCCGGAGAGAGGGGCAACCCUGUAAAGGAGGGUGAGAGCCCCUGUCUCCGCACCGGAGGGGGGAAACGGAGCUCUCCCGGCCCCCAGCCCAGCUACCCUGUAAGCAGGGCAGGGCUUUUCCCCAGCCCCGGCAGCUUUCUGCCUGCUGCCGGCCCCUGGCCAGUGUGACCCCCUGUACUCGGGGCGUGUCUCAGCCCUUGUCCCCGUGCCAGGCCUGAAGCGCUUCAGCACGUCGAGGCCCCUGUGGCCUCUUCUCAGUGCACGGGCAGGUCUAAUGCUUUCCUCUCCCGCUCAGCAUUAGGAAUGGCUCCCUAGAGUAGGCUGGCUGCACAGAGCUUGCUCCCUCUUCUGGGACUGUCUUUCUCCCCCUCCCCUGUCUCCCCCUCCCCUGUCUUCCCCUUAGUUGGUGUGAGUGAGGAAGUGUGUUUGUGCUUUUGCCCCCCCCCGCUUUAGAAACAGAGCAGUGUAGCUCAGACUUCCCAGGAGGGAAAGAGGAGCUCUGUGCAGCCACAGGCGGGUGCCCAAAAUGCACGGGUGGAGAAAGCGUCCAGCCUUGCCCCUGCUUUCUGAGGACGGCGCGAAGCCGCUUAGCGGCAGCGUGGGCACCACGACCCGCCUGUAGCCAGGGCCUGGGCGUGCGCCCACGCUGCCGGUCGUGCUGGUGAACUGCCAGCGUGCGGGCCCCGUACUCAGGGCACGUGUCAGGACCUUGGCGGCACCCUUUGUCCCAAGGAGCAG